GUUCAUAAUGAGGAUGAAUUCUCAUAUUUCCUUCAGUCAUAUAAAAAAUUCAAGGAAAACUCGUCAUUUUUAAUGAUAUUGGAUAUGAAUCUAAAACUAUUGAUGAACGAGUAUUGCGGAUUCCUCAAAGUUAAUGACACGUGAUAUUGCAUUGCCUUUUAUUCCCGGAAUACUUUGGAGAGAUGAGAACCGUAUCUAUUUUCAAGAUGGGAUACACCAUUAAAUUAAUAAUUUCUGUCAAAUGUAAUAAUUAUGAAGGAAAGAAACAUUUCAAAAGAAUGUCAACAUGUAACAGUUUUUGAAUCAAUCUUUGAAUAAAUCAACAGUAGUUUGCAACAAAAUGGAACAUUUCCAUUCAAAGAAUAUAAUUUAUACAUACCACUUGUUUCAUAUUCAAAUUUUGUUAACAUGUUCUGUAUCCUUGCACAUCCAUUUUGUCAUUUUGUUCUUCAAAGUGAGAUUAUUUAUAAAACAAUAAAUGACAAAAAUGUCAUCUUUAUAAAAAUUGCUUAUUUGGUUGACAUAUAAUAAAAUAGCAUCAUCAAAUAUAUAAAAUAAAA
rnacentral:lncRNA from 1 species